UUGACUUUAGAUAGCAAUAUCGGAAAAGUAGGGUGGCGCACGGGUGCGUAACGCGUAGGUAAUCUGCCCUGAGGUCUGACAUAACCCGUCGAAAGGCGGGCUAACAUCAGAUGAUAUAUAAUCACGACAUCGUGGAAAUAUCAAAUCUUCGGAGCCUUGGGAUGAGCCUGCGUCUGAUUAGGUAGUUGGCGGAGUAAUAGCCCACCAAGCCUACGAUCAGUAGCUGGUCUGAGAGGAUGAUCAGCCACACUGGAACUGAGACACGGUCCAGACUCCUACGGGAGGCAGCAGUAAGGAAUAUUGCUCAAUGGGGGGAAACCCUGAAGCAGCAACGCCGCGUGAAGGAUGAAAUACUUUUGUAUGUAAACUUCUGUAAGAUGGGAAAAAUAUUCUCCUCGGGAGAAUUGAUUGUACCAUCAGAGUAAGCCCCGGCUAACUACGUG
rnacentral:rRNA from 1 species